UACGUAGGGGGGCAAGCGUUGUCCGGAAUUAUUGGGCGUAAAGAGCGCGUAGGCGGUCCGAUAAGUCGGCUGUGAAAGUCAGGGGCUCAACCCUUGGAAGCCGGCCGAUACUGUCGGACUAGAGUCCGGAAGAGGCGAGUGGAAUUCCUGGUGUAGCGGUGAAAUGCGCAGAUAUCAGGAGGAACACCGAUGGCGAAGGCAGCUCGCUGGGACGGUACUGACGCUGAGGCGCGAAAGCGUGGGGAGCAAACAGG
rnacentral:rRNA from 1 species